GAUGAACGCUGGCGGCGUGCUUAACACAUGCAAGUCGAACGGUGAAAGAGAGCUUGCUCUCUGGAUCAGUGGCGAACGGGUGAGUAACACGUGAGCAAUCUGCCCCUGACUCUGGGAUAAGCGCUGGAAACGGCGUCUAAUACCGGAUACGAGCUGCGAAGGCAUCUUCAGCAGCUGGAAAGAACUUCGGUCAGGGAUGAGCUCGCGGCCUAUCAGCUAGUUGGUGAGGUAACGGCUCACCAAGGCGUCGACGGGUAGCCGGCCUGAGAGGGUGACCGGCCAAACUGGGACUGAGACACGGCCCAGACUCCUACGGGAGGCAGCAGUGGGGAAUAUUGCACAAUGGGCGAAAGCCUGAUGCAGCAACGCCGCGUGAGGGACGACGACCUUCGGGUUGUAAACCUCUUUUAGCAGGGAAGAAGCGAAAGUGACGGUACCUGCAGAAAAAGCACCGGCUAACUACGUG
rnacentral:rRNA from 1 species